AAGGCCUUCGGGUUGUAAACUCCUUUCGCUAUCGACGAAGCCACUUGUGGUGACGGUAGGUAGAUAAGAAGCACCGGCUAACUACGUGCCAGCAGCCGCGGUAAUACGUAGGGUGCAAGCGUUGUCCGGAAUUACUGGGCGUAAAGAGCUCGUAGGUGGUUUGUCGCGUCGUCUGUGAAAUCCCGGGGCUUAACUUCGGGCGUGCAGGCGAUACGGGCAUAACUUGAGUGCUGUAGGGGAGACUGGAAUUCCUGGUGUAGCGGUGAAAUGCGCAGAUAUCAGGAGGAACACCGAUGGCGAAGGCAGGUCUCUGGGCAGUUACUGACGCUGAGGAGCGAAAGCAUGGGUAGCGAACAGGAUUAGAUACCCUGGUAGUCCAUGCCGUAAACGGUGGGCGCUAGGUGUAGGGGGCUUCCACGUCUUCUGUGCCGUAGCUAACGCAUUAAGCGCCCCGCCUGGGGAGUACGGCCGCAAGGCUAAAACUCAAAGGAAUUGACGG
rnacentral:rRNA from 1 species